rnacentral:rRNA from 1 species
CGAACGCUGGCGGCGUGCCUAACACAUGCAAGUCGAACGCUGAUUACGGUUGUCGCAAGACAGUCGUGAAAGGCGUGGCGCACGGGUGAGUAACACGUGGGCAAUCUGCCCUCGAGUGGGGGACAACCCCGGGAAACUGGGGCUAAUACCGCGUAACGUUGCGAGGACUUCGGUCCUUGCAACCAAAGUCCCGCAAGGCACGCUUGAGGAGGAGCCCGCGGCCGAUUAGCUAGUUGGUGAGGUAACGGCUCACCAAGGCAAUGAUCGGUAACCGGCCUGAGAGGGCGGUCGGUCACACUGGAACUGAGACACGGUCCAGACUCCUACGGGAGGCAGCAGUGGGGAAUAUUGCGCAAUGGGCCGAAAGCCUGACGCACCGACCCCGCGGGGAGGAUGAACCCCUUCGGGGUGUAAACUCCUUUCGACCCCGGACGAAACGUCCCCGAGCAAUCGGGACCUGGACGGUACGGGUAUAAAAAGGCCCCGGCUUAACUACCUGCCAGCAGCCGCGGUAAGACGUAGGGGGCAAGGCGUUGCUCGGAAUUACUGGGGCGUAAAGGGUCCGUAGGCGGUGCGUAAGCCCGUGGUGAAAUCUCUCGGUUUAACUGAGAGGCUGCCAUGGAACUGCCGUGGUUCGAGUGCAGGAGAGGGGGAGUGGAAUUCCCCGGGGUAGCGGUGAAAUGCGUAGAUAAUCGGGAAGGAACCACCUGUGGCGAAGGCCGGCUCCACUGGACUGCAACUGACGCUGAGGGACGAAAGCUAGGGGAGCAAACAGGAUUAGAUGCCCUGGUAGUCCCUAGCCUUAAACGAUUGGAACUUGUGUGCCUCGUGUCCUGCGGGGUGUGGCGGAGCUAACGCGAUUAAGUUCCACGCCUGGGGAGUACGGUCGCAAGGCUGAAACUCAAAAGGAAUUGACGGGGGCCCGCACAAGCGGUGGAGCAUGUGGUUCAAUUCGACGCAACGCGAAGAACCUUACCUGGGCUCGAAGUCCCGAUGACAACUCACGAAAGUGGGUCUCUCCGCAAGGGGCAUCGGGAGAGGGUGCUGCAUGGCUGUCGUCAGCUCGUGCCGUGAGGUGUUGGGUUAAGUCCCGCAACGAGCGCAACCCUUGUUCCUAGUUGCUACGUCCCGACUUGUCGGGACAGCACUCUAGGAAGACUGCCGGUGAUAAACCGGAGGAAGGUGGGGAUGACGUCAAGUCAGCAUGGCCUUUAUGUCCAGGGCUACACACGUGCUACAAUGCGCGCCACAGUGCGUUGCAAACGCGCGAGGGGGAGCUAAUCGCAAAAAAGCGCGCUCAGUUCGGAUUGCAGUCUGCAACUCGACUGCAUGAAGCUGGAAUCGCUAGUAAUGGCGCAUCAGCACGGCGCCGUGAAUACGUUCCCGGGCCUUGUA